CAUAGGGGCUCGGGGCCUCCCGCCCCCCUACGCUGAUUGCGUAAAAGCUCUGUGCCUCCCGCUCCUCUCCGCUGUUUACGUAAGGGCUCUAUGUCUCCCGCCCCUCUCCGCUGUUUGCGUGAGGGCUCGGUGCCUCUAGCCGCUCUCCACUAUUUGCUCAUGUUUCUACUGUGCCUCUCCUUACGUACUUAUAUCUGCGUUUUUACCUAGUUUGAGGGUCUUUGCAGCAUUUCCAGGUGCUGGCGUUUGCCCCGACAAGCUGCUGGCCUGUGCAGGAUCCCUAGAGACAGCAUUGCUGCAAAUCUGGCUGCUGAGAUGCAGAUUUCCCUGAGGAACAGAGGAAUUGUGGGAGCAGAUGUGGUUCGUGUGCUGUGCUUCCCCUGGAGCCAGCAGGGAGACUGUGCAUCUGCCGGAGAGGCACCAAGGAGGGUUCUGAAGUAAGAACGCUUGGUGCCUGUCGAAGCCCCAAGGGAAGAGGGGAUCCCCCUUCCAGCUGCCCAGGCGCUUUGGCAGCCAGUGGCCCAGGAGGGCAGAUGGCCCUGAUUGCAUGUCCAGAAGUUGAGCCAAGGGUGACAAAAUGUUUUCCCAGUCUUUUAGGAAACCUGGGCCAACCUAUGAAGGCGAGGAAUCACAGAAUCACAGAAUGGUCAGGGCUGGAAGAGACCUCUGGAGAUCUAGUCCAACCCCGCUGCUAAAGCUGGUUCACCUACAGCAGGGUGCACAGGAACGUGUCCAGGUGAGGUCUGUAUAUCUCCAGAGAAGAAGACUCCACAACCUACCUGGGCAGCCUGUUCCAAUGCUCCCUUGUUCUCCCAGUAGAGAUGUUUUUCCUCUUGUUAAAGUGGAACUUCCUAUGUUCCAGUUUGUACCUGUUGUCCCUUGUCCUGUUGCUGCGUACCAUUGAGAAGAGUUUGGCCCCAUCCUCUUGACACUUGCCCUUUAGAUAUUUAUAAGCAUUGAUAAGAUCCCUUCUCAGUCUUCUCUUCUUCAGGCUAAACAGACCCUGGUCUCGCCCCUUUUCUUCAUAAGAGAGAUGAUCCAGUCCCUUCAUCACCUUUGUGGCCCUCUCCUGGACUCUUUCCAAUAAUUCCUUGUCUUUCUUGAACUGGGGAGCCCAGAACUGGACAUAAAAUGAAAGCUAAAAUACUACAGUAAGUGAGAGGUGAUUUUUUUUCCAUGUUGGGGCAGUAAGUGAAAGGUGAUCUGAUGGGUGUUUCCAUGUUGGAUUCAUUGAAUUAUUUGCAUUUUGUGAGGAGAAAGUAUUCAGGACAUUCCUAGCUGGGUACAGGAUGCGGUACAUUUUGAGUAGAAAUUGGCAUUAAUUGUUUCUUUUGGAACAGGUUCAGAGGUUUCUGGAUUCAUUAAUGUCUAAAACUCAAAGCAAAAUGCAGGAGAUACAAAGCCUGUGAUAGCAAGACAUAUAGCAUUGUUUCUGUUAAUCCCAGAAUCCCACUGUCUCAAUAAAACCACAGAAAAAUGUUUUUAUAUUCGAAAGGUGUGGAAAGUAUGAUUUUCCAGGUCUAUCCGUACACUACUUCCAUCUCUUGGCACAAGAGAAAUUUCUGGUUGGGGAAGUAUAGUCUCAUCUCCAGACUCUUUCAGAAGAUGUCUUGGAAUUACCCCAAGGGCCUGGAUCGUCAGGACAGUAAAGGACAGGCUUGAUGGUGGCAUGAGCACCUACAUACCCUUUUUUUUCCCCCCAACUAAUGUAGUGCUGUCAUGACCCUUGAGAAAAGGUAGAAGAGUCUGAACCUCCUAUAUUUGAACUUCUCCAUGUCAUCAGCACCUGUAAAAGAGAAAAAUUCUUUGGCAUCUUUUAACCUUUUCUUCCACUGACAUGUCCUCUCAUUCACAAACUAGAAAUUAUUUGCCUGCCCACUUCCCUUUAGAAUAUCCUUCAGCAUCAGAGAUACCAUCUAUUUUCUCUUGGGUGGUCUUACAAAUCUUACAAAUCAAACUAAAUUUUAGAGCAGUUGGUCUCAACUGGUUUUCAUUUUUUCAAGGCUGCUGCUUCUAUUUUGGACCUGGAGGAGGACUGAUGUACUUGAAAGCUUAUUGAUUUUUCCCAGCUAGACCGGUGGGUCUAAUAACAGGUCUGCCUGCAAACCUUAUUUUGGUCAUAUGCUUGAGUACUUGGAAACAAUACUGUUUUGUUAUUUCUUCUGGCAUAAUUUAUGGCUGUCAGCAUUAUGCAAAUAUGACAGCAAUAACUAGUAAUGAUAUGGAGAGAGUUAUGUUGGCCUGUCAGCAAUGUUCCUAAACUUCAUCGGGGGAAAAUAAACAGAUAAAUCUCAAGCAUUUGAUGUACUGGAAGGAACUGCAAUGCAAAUGCAUCAUUAUGAAGUUGCCAUGAUACAGUCAUUUGUUCUAUCUGGGUCAAAUAUUUCUUUUUUUUAUUUCUAUGUGUUCCUAACUCAGAGAAAAUUGAUGUUCAUGGGUGUGUUUUUCCCCGCUAAUGGCAUUCCAGAGCAAUUUGCAGUUUCCCUGCGGUCCCCUUAGGGUGAAGGAUACUGGAUGGUACGGAAGCAGACACUUGAGUCUUGUAAGCCCAUCAACAGAAGUGCUAGUGAUGAGUGUAGGAGACGGUGGCAGUUGUUAACAUUGAAGUGUUAAAUGAGACAUUGGGACUGAGGCAAUUGAGUUUCUGGCAGCCAUGGGAGUGACAGAUCCAAAUACCAAAAUUUUACGUCUGCAGCUGUGUCAUAUUAAUAGUUUCAGCAAUGGCCUCUUUCCUCAUGCUGACUGGGAGAUAACGGUGGAUCUUGGCAUAUACAGUCCACCAACAUUUCUCCAGUGGGUAGGGGACAUGUCCUCUAUGUCUGCAAAAUGGAGCCAUCUGUGUGGUCCUGCUCAGCAGUGGCCGAGACCUUGAAGUGCAUUUCUCUCUUGCAUCCCUUGUGGGAGAGGCAUUGCGAAAGCAAGCACAUAGUCUUUACUCUCCUUCUUGUCUGGAUGACCUCAGGUGGGUAAUCAGGACAGUGUUCUCCCAGCAUGGCCCCUGGUGCCUCAGGGCAGCAAGGAGUAGUGGUGAGGCGAGACUCCAGUCUGCUCAACUCUCACACCUUCUGCAGAUGUUGGCAUAACUUCCCUGCUCCAGAUUUGUUUCCGUUUGCAAGAAGCGGUAAAGGCCCAUGUGGCUGGUAAGGAGCAGGAAUGUACUUUUCCUUAAAUAUCAUAGCACAUACCCAAAAGCCUGGUAGAGAAGCGGAAUAAGCCAGCCCUGAAGAUUUGCUCCCUCCCCCUCAAAAAAAUAAAAAAGAUGUGGCAUUUUUUCUGAAAAUAUAUCCUUACGUAAUUUGUCCUCAUUUUGGUUUUUAAUAACCAGCACAGCUCAGCCAGCACCGAUUGACUGGCUGCAAUUAACCUCUAUAAUAUUAUUUGAGCUUCUUUUUGAGGAGGGCUGUUUCGUCUUAGCCCACAGGCCUUAUUUUAGAUAAUGAAUUAGUGUCUUAAACUGUGAAUUAGGGCUGUGUUGCACAAAACUACUCCCUCUACUCCCUUCCGUUUAUGAGACCUUGGUUAGCGCUUCCUUUUGCCUUUAAAUGGAUUGGGGGACUUUUAAAACCUUGAGAAAAUUGCUCCUUAUCAUUUGUUAUAUCUGUGUUGCCAACAGCAUCAAUGGGCAGGGCCUAAUUAGAAAGAAAUCAUUACUAGAGCCCAGGGUUCUUUGUUGAAUGAACUUAUAGAACCACAAGUUUGGGUUGGAAAGGACCUUAAAGAUCAUCCAGCUCCAACCCUCCUGCCAUAGGCAGGGACGUCUCCCACCAGGCCAGGCUGCUCAAGGCUCCAUCCAACCUGGCCUUGAACACUUCCAGAGAGGAGCAUCCACAAUUUCCCUGGGCAACCUGUGCCAGUGCCUCAACACUGUCAUCAUUAAGAGUUUAUUCUCAAUAUCUAAUCUAAAUCUUCCUCCUUCCAAUUUAAAGCUAUUUCUCCUCAUUCUAUCACUGCAGGCCCCUGUAUAAAGUUCCUCCCCUGCUUUCUUGUGGGCCCCCUUCAGGUUCUGGAAGCCCACUAUGAGGUCUCCUAUGAACCUUCUCUUCUCCAGGCUGAACAACCCCAAGCCGCUCAGCCUGCCCUCAUAGCAGAGGUGCUCCAGCCCUCUGAUCUUCUUCACGGCCCUCCUCUAGACCCAUUCCAACAGUUUCAUAUCCUUCUUAUGUUGGGGAUUCCAGAACUGGACACAAUACUCGAGGUAGGGUUUCACGAGAACAGAGCAGAGGGGGAAAAUUAUCUCCCUUGACGUGCUGGCCAUGCUUCUUUUGAUGCAGCCCAGGAUACUUAUGUAUCUAAUAAUAUCAGUUCUCUAGUAUCUCCUAUGCUCUGAAUUUUUUAAAUAUUAGGGAGUAACUGGUCCUUAUUUUAAUGUCUGUAGCUAGUGGACGUGUGGCUAGUUUGUUGUAAAACUACUUAAAUCUGUAAGGCUGAGCAAUGAGAAGAGAUACAUCCUUUAUUUCCCAAAUGGUUGAUAAAACUGCUAGAAUUGCCGAGAAUUUGAGUAAAAAUCGUAUUUGCUGCCUCAUCCCCACUGUAUCCUUCCCUGUCCCAAGCACGGUCAUGCUCUGGGCUCCAGGGCCCAGCAGAGGGGCUUGCUGGGCAGAAGCUGGUUGCUCCAGGCGGGAAGUUCCAGCCUGCAGCUGCCUUAGGCGUGAGCCUGGGGACUUUUCCACCACACUUUUUGGCAUGAGUCUGUCCACUGGGUUCAAGAUGCGCAGACUAAGUAGGUAAGAGGGAUGGUGGCACGGAAGGUCAUGCCCAAGUGUCCUGGGGGUAAAUGUCUAUGUGCCCAUGGUAAGGGUGUAAACAGGAUUGCUGUUGGAAACACCGAAGGGAGUGUGGGCUCAGUGAUGGUUUUGAUGUGUAGGACUAUUAACCACUGUGGGGUUGGAGCCCCUGUUGUUCAGGUACCAACAGACUUACAGAGACGCCUGCAAUGCAAUUAGGUAGCAGAAACAGCAAGAACCUGGUAUCAACACCUUUCAGAUUUCUUAACAGUGCCUUGACUGAGGAGCCAGUAAAACCUAAUUCACUGUCGCUACCCCAAGAACAUGCAGUCCGCCUCCUGGAGAGCACCUGCAUGCCAGAGGAAUGUUAAAGCAAUAUAAGUAAGUCACACCUAAAACCUCCACAUGAUUUCAGACGGGGAGGCCAGGAGGGAGAAAUCACCUUCAAAUUCAAUAAUCCUCAUUUUAAAGCACAUCCAAUUGCAAUUUAUUAAGUAAGAGAGAUACAAACAGUUCUGACAUUUAGAUUCCACUGAUGUUUCAAAACCAAAUGCAAUAUAUUAUGUGAAGCACAUUUUCCACAAAGGAUCUUUUUAUUUUUAUAAGACAACAGACUCCAGAUUUGAAUAAUAUAUUUAGUGUUGACUGUAACUUUCAUUUCUGUAGCAGAGAAACACUAAUUCAUGGGCUGUGUUAAGAAAUGCUUUAGGUUGGGGACAUUUUUAACGGAAAUGCAGAUUCUGGGAAGGUUACUUCACCUGCAGAGUCACAUCAAAAGCUCUGUCCAGUUUCUAGACCUUAGGCUUAUUGUAAAGCCUAAUCAUUACAUGUUUGCACUGUAAUUCAGUCUGAUGUACACUAGGUCUAUUUGUAUUCGUGCCCCUACCUAGAUCAGUUUCUGGCAUAUAAAUAAUAUGCUGGAUAGAAAUACACAUGUGAAUGAAAAGUCCCCAUCCGAACCCAUCUCAAAGAUUAAGUGGGGAAAAUUUCUGGAAACUAGAAUCAGAAACACUGCUUCAGCAAAAUAACAGGUUGUCUUGCUUGGGUGAGGGCAAGCUGAGAGGGGCUCCCAGGAGCUAAACUUUAGACCCAAUACUAACACAGAACAUGUUGGGUUUUAGGAGUUGCCUGAUGAAAACUGGACAACUACUGUCAGUCCAGAAGGUAACUCCUCACCCUAAGUCUUACCUUAGCCAGUGGCCCUGUCCUAAAACCACCAUUUUCCCUCUAAUGCAACUAUAAAGGGAACCUGAGACAACUGCAUCAGCAAACAGAAUAUGUCAAGUUGGAAGAGACCCAUAAGGAUCAAGUCCAAUUCAGUAGAUGCCUGGCUUGUAGGUACCCAAAAUUCCCAAAGCAAGAGAGCUUUGCUUAUGUAUGCUCCACACUGAGGGCACGGAGGUAGCAGGCAUUCAAGACUUACACUGCCUCUCACCACGAAGUGCCUCCUGCUGCCGAUGAUUUUUUUCCCCAGCAGAUGGCCCAGCCAGCCAUGUCUCGCCAGCCUCACUGCAGGAGCAUUUCAUGGUGUCCUCUGCACGUUAUUCCAGGCCAGCACCUUUGAAAUCAACCUGAGUUUUAGUUUAUACAGAAAGCAGUUUUACCU